rnacentral:lncRNA from 1 species
UGAGAGAUCAAUCCAACUAAGAAAGAAUGUAUGUGUUAAGCAUUGGUUGCAGCAUCGAAUUAGACUGGCCCAAGACCAAGACAAGGAACGAAAACAUUUCUUUGCGUAGGGCUUUUUAGCUAGCAGGCUUAGAGAAAGGGGUGACUUUGUUUUCCCGGGUAGCGCGAGUAAAAAUGCCAGCCUCUCAUAACAAGGAUCAUAGGUUUAUUAAUUAUAUAUUUUUCUUGUUUGGCAGAAGAGAAGCGGGCACCUCAAGCUAUAGAGUCUGGGAGUAAGAACUCGGGGAAGGUCUUACUGUGACUUUCUCGGCAUCGAAGUGGCCUCUUCACCUCAGG